GACAGAGGAGGCAAGCGUUAUCCGGAGUUAUUGGGCGUAAAGCGUGCGUAGGUGGCGAUUCAAGUCUGCUGUCAAAGGUCGGGGCUUAACCCCGGAAAGGCAGUGGAAACUGAAUAGCUAGAGGGCGGUAGGGGCAGAGGGAAUUCCCGGUGUAGCGGUGAAAUGCGUAGAGAUCGGGAAGAACACCAGUGGCGAAAGCGCUCUCCUGGGCCUGCACUGACACUGAGGGAAGAAAGCUAGGGGAGCGAACGGG
rnacentral:rRNA from 1 species